AUCGAUGGUCCCAUGAACUGCACUUCUGAUAUGGAAAUCAAUCCAUUGAAAAUUAAGAUUUCUGCUUCUAAAGAUGAUGAUAAGAAUGAAACACUUAGCAGGGAAGAUAAUCACGAUCAUCAUAUCAGUCGAAGGGAUAUAACUGCCAUUGAAGGAGAUGUGCAUACUUUGGGCUGUGGAAAUGCUGAUUGUUUAAAGAUAGUCUGUCAAGUUGGCCACCUGGACAGGGGAAGAGUGCGAUUUUGUAUUUAAAAUCACGCCUUUGGACCCAAACUUUCAUGAAUAAAGAAAAUCAGAAUCACUCCUAUUCUCUCAAAUCAUCUGCUGCUUUCAAUGUUAUAGAGUUCCCUUAUAAGAACCUUUCCUUUGAAGAUAUUCACAAUUCUACAGUUGUUACUACAAAUAUUACAUGGGGCAUUCAACCACAGUCUAUGCCUGUGCCAGUGUGGGUUAUAAUUUUGGCUGUCCUAGCAGGAUUAUUGCUCUUGGCUGUUCUAGUGUUUGUUAUGUACAGAAUGGGCUUUUUCAAACGUGUGAGACCACCUCAGGAAGAGCAAGAAAGAGAACAGCUGCAACCGCAUGAGAAUGGAGAAGGCACAUCAGAAACUUAAGCAGAGUUUUAUCUUUAAGACAUUCUGAAAUUUGAAAAUGCCUACAUCUUGGUUACAAAUAUUGGUUUCCCCAUUAAGGAAAAACACUUGUGACUGCAAAGCUGCUGGUCUGAGAAGUUAUCAGCAUGUACAAAUAAGAGCAAUAUAUUUAAAUCCUCCUUUUGAUAUUAAUUAUGUUCAUACAUGUGACUAACACAUUUGCACUGAUUUGUGUGUGAAAAAAAAGUAAUGUGUAGUGCUAUGAUUUUGCUUAUUGGGAUGUAGGAGGCAUAUUUUUUGAUUCAUGGACUGACCAACUUUACAUGAAUUGCUACACAGAUUCUGUGUUUGCUCUUGAAGCCAACAGCUUCCAUAAAUACUUGCUGGAUUACAUGUUUAGUUUCGA